rnacentral:rRNA from 1 species
UACGGGGGGCGAAGCGUUGUUCGGAAUUACUGGGCGUAAAGGGCGCGUAGGCGGCCUGCUAAGUCGGACGUGAAAUCCCCGGCUCAACCGGGGAACUGCGUCCGAUACUGGUGGGCUCGAAUCCGGGAAAGGGAUGUGGAAUUCCAGGUGUAGGCGGAUGAAAUGCGUAGAUAUCAUGGAGGAACACCGGUGGCGAAAGGCGGCAUCCUAGGACCCGGUAUUGACGGCUGAGGCGACGAAAGUCCAGGGG